ACCUUUUUGUAAGGUAGAGUCCGAUGGCUGCUCGAUGACGGUCGAGGAGGGCCUGGCAAAAACUUCUUUGGAAUCCAAGUCGAACUGUAAUGAAGCAAUUUUUACGUGAGAUUUCAAGGCAACGAUUACAACAGUGUUCGAGUGUGUGUGUGUGAGUGUGUUUUGUACGGCUUAUAAAUCGUUUCGUGUUAUCGCAUCAUAUAGGGCACAUGAAAGUGCAAACAGCCGGCCAGCUGAUAAGAGUUCAAACUGCGAGCAGCGUCGUGCUGUGAUUUAUGGCAAGUGCAACAAUCGAUGCGCGUUUAUCGAUAAUAUUUCCACAUGCCUCCCAUUGCAGUACAGUUGUCUCCGAUUGUAAGAGUGGCGAGCGGGCUGCCAACUCACUUGAAAUGAAAUGUCAACAAGUCGUGGGAAAGGAAGCCAGGAAGAGAACAGAAAAAACUGAAAAAACUGAAAAAACUGAAAAGCCCUGACAAGGUCGAUUCAUAUCUGCAUUUGGUUAAACAAAAAGACACGAAUUAUGCAAAUUGCCUCGAAUCGUUUAUCAAGAACUCGUAGCAUUUACAUUAAUCAUCUAUUAGAUGGUAACAACGUCAUGCAUAUUCUGAUCAUGUGUGUGCUCUUGUCAGGACUGGCGAUAGCCAUGGGAGAGCAGCAACAGAUACGACGUCGCGACGACGACGAGGAGGGAUAAGGCGCAGAGCUGCGGGAAAACUUUCACAGCAACUUGGCCUGGCCGAGACCUGGGUCGGGCCGACGCCCCAAAGGCGCAAACAUGGAGCAUAUUUCAGUCUGGCAUGCGAUUAUCAGCUCAAGCUAGAGGAACUGCGAGUCCAAUGCAAAAUGUGUGUCAAAGUUCAAGCAUUGGAAACGUGAAAGGAAAACGGCCAACGGGAUGAUGAUGAAGUGCUGAAGCGCGGGGCAUUUGGCAUAAAGCAUUCAGCAUGCAGCAUGCUGCAUAGACCAUCGGGGGAAUGAGACAUGCGGUUGGUGUGAUAGCACCCACGUUCACCAUGAGUUAUGACCGCGGCAAGCAAAUAAUUGCAAAAUUACAACCCAGCUGCGGUUCCUCAUUCCCCUCCUUUACUUCCACAAUUUUUCUCUUUCAUCGGACUCGAACUCAAACUUUGUUUUGCACUCAACUGGCGUCUAAUAACACUAGACUGCCUCGUUUACGAUUGAAACCGGAAAAUCCGCAAUAUAUUAACAAUAUUACAAGAAUGGAAU